GGCAAUCUUGGCAAUGUCUCCGCGCUUCACGGACACCUCGGUGGAGCCCUUGGCGAUGGCGGGAGGCACUGCGCAGCACAGCGUCACCACAUAUGACAACAACGGAUAGACAACAGUGUACGACAGAACAGCCAUCGAGUUGGCUCGUUUCAUUCCAGUGCAACGUUCUGGUUGUAACUACAGUCUCUUGACACGUCCAUUCGCCAGGUCGACGUCGUCCUUGUGCCAAGCUAUGCGAUACGGUCCCGCCGUGCCUUUCCUCACCACGCAAGCAACGAUGAUUUCGUCGCCCAGACCCACAUCAGGGGGGAAGGCAAACUCCAGAAGCCUCGGAGGGCCUGUGAACAUCGGGUCAAUCGAGGAACGCAUUAUUUUUU